CUUCUGUGCUGUAAAAUGAUAUCUUAGCAGUAUGUGUACGUGAGUGUCUUCAUGUUUAACAAGCUUUAAUCUGAAGGACUGGAGAUUUUAUAAAGGGCAGCCUCCAAAUGGGACUUCAUGGCAUCCAGAAAAUCAAGUCAGAUAGUUGCAAGUGCAAUGCUGGUCCAUGACCUGGAGCUGUUGGGGGUGACAUCUUUCAUCAACACUCUGGUCACAGUCAGACAAGACAACUGAACACGUGCUCAUGGGAAUGACAACUUACAAGAAUGGAGGAUCUUAACUACAGUUACAGAAAACAUAAUUUGAAUUUCUGUGUGAAAUUCACAGAGUCCAACCAUUAAUAAAUAGUUUGCUUUUCUAUUUUCUUCCAAAUAACCUUCAAUGAAGUCACCCAUAUGGAGAUCAACAACAACUUUUCUUGUAUUGCUUUUCAUUUGGGAGAUGAGGACUAAGCCCCUGGAGAUAUACUUCAUCAGACUCCCAUCAGCAGUAACUGAAGAUGCCUAUACUUGGAGUGAGUUAAGAACAAAGAUGCACAUUAGCCUAAACUGGUUUCAGUGCUGAGCUUACCCUGUCUAUGUAUAUAAUUUUAUAUCACUUUGCUUGAUAUUUACAAUGGAGGGCAUGGUCAAGUGAUCUCUCAGUGAUAACUUUCUGCUUUUUUUUGUCCCAUACACACUUGCCUUCAAUGUAUAACAACUACAUGAAGUUCAGAUAUAACCUAGCUUUCAUUAAGCUUGCAGCUAAAUUGUCCUACAUGAGAUUUUGAGUUGUUUAGUCCCGUGUGAAGAUUCAGAUGUAGAUGUAUGCUAGUGUGUAGGAUGGCAUUGAUUUGUGGCUACUGAUUCUCCUGUACAUAAUAAAAAACUGAGAAAGCAUUGACAUAGGAAAGAGAGCUUAUGUCUGUAAAUGGGUUUCUAUGAUGCUCCUUGUGAUCUCUCAUGGAGAAAGAAAUGAGACCAUUAACAUUAUAAAUCUUGACCUCAUCCAGAAUGCAGGCUAGAGAUCCAGACUACCUCCAUAUCUGCUCUGUAAAAAAGUAUGUAUAGACCUAGAAAUAA